rnacentral:ncRNA from 1 species
ACUUUUAUGACUUUGGAAGCCACAUGCUCCAGGGCUCAACCCUGGACAAGUGGUGGAAACUACCAAGCUAGAGUACGGUAGGGGUAGAGGGAAUUUCGGGUGGAGUGGUGAAAUGCAUUGAGAUCAGAAAGAACACCAACGGCGAAAGCACUCUGCUGGACCGACAAUUACACUGAGAGAUGAAAGCUAGGGGAGCAAAUGAGAUUAGAGAUCCCAGUAGUCCUAGCCAUAAUUAGCAUGGGAGAUUAACAUUUCUAAUAUCAAAUGAGUUAA